GAGUUUGAUCCUGGCUCAGGAUGAACGCUAGCGGCAGGCUUAACACAUGCAAGUCGAGGGGCAGCGCGGAGUAGCAAUACUCUGGCGGCGACCGGCGCAAGGGUGCGUAACGCGUGAGCGACAUGCCCGUGACUGGGGUAUAACCGAUGGAAACGUCGCCUAAUCCCCCAUAUGAUAUCUGGCUACAUGGUCGGAUAUUGAGAACUUCGGUGGUCAUGGAUUGGCUCGCGUGACAUUAGGUAGACGGCGGGGUAACGGCCCACCGUGCCGACGAUGUCUAGGGGUUCUGAGAGGAAGGUCCCCCACAAUGGAACUGAGACACGGUCCAUACUCCUACGGGAGGCAGCAGUGAGGAAUAUUGGUCAAUGGGCGGAAGCCUGAACCAGCCAUGCCGCGUGCAGGAAGACGGCCCUAUGGGUUGUAAACUGCUUUUGAGCGGGAGCAAUAAGGUCCUCGCGCAGGACCGAUGAGAGUACCGUUCGAAUAAGCAUCGGCUAACUCCGUGCCAGCAGCCGCGGUAAUACGGAGGAUGCGAGCGUUAUCCGGAUUUAUUGGGUUUAAAGGGUGCGUAGGCUGUUAUGUAAGUCAGGGGUGAAAUGCCGUCGCUCAACGUCGGAGCUGCCCUUGAUACUGCGUAGCUGGAGUGCGGAUGCCGUUGGAGGAAUGAGUAGUGUAGCGGUGAAAUGCAUAGAUAUUACUCAGAACACCGAUUGCGAAGGCAUCUGACGAAUCCGCCACUGACGCUGAGGCACGAAAGCGUGGGGAUAGAACAGGAUUAGAUACCCUGGUAUUCCACGCCGUAAACGAUGAUGACUAACCGCCGGCGACAGACCGAUCGGUGGCCAAGCGAAAGCGAUAAGUCAUCCACCUGGGGAGUACGACCGCAAGGUUDAAACUCAAAGGAAUUGACGGGGGCCGCACAAGCGGAGGAACAUGUGGUUUAAUUCGAUGAUACGCGAGGAACCUUACCCGGGCUCGAACGGUACAGGAAGGAUCCAGAGAUGGAGANCGCUUCGGGGCCUGUAUCGAGGUGCUGCAUGGUUGUCGUCAGCUCCGUGCCGU
rnacentral:rRNA from 1 species